GGCCCUAUGGCGCAACGGUAGCGCGUUUGACUCCAGAUCAAAAGGUUAUCCGUUCAAAUCGGGUUGGGGGGUC
rnacentral:tRNA from 1 species